CAGAUUUGCAGCUCUGGAAUCGUGUAUUUCGACUUGGGUUUCCCUCUCUCCCACCCCGCACCCUGACAAAUCAUCCCUGCCUUCUGAGACCGAUAAUCCCAGUUGGCUGCAAUGACACCUACUGGAUGUCAGAGCUGAUGGACUGCAGACCCUGCUGCUGCUGAGUUUAGCUAGCGUCACUGCCAAUGCAACGUUCAACACCACAGCCCUCUCCGGCACAGCUCCCGCCCACUGCAGCUCUUCCUGACUGCUUGGAUCUCGGUUACCCCUAUGAAGCAAUUUCCUGCCUCUUUCAGGCUCAUUUCUCAACUCCCAGGGAAAAAGGUGGGACCCAAUGUGAUAUCAUGGAAGACCAGUGGAGACCUAAUGGGAAUCCAGCCUGCAGACUGGCAUUUUUCAGAGUUGCCUGAGUUCACUAGGUUUGGAAAGACUCUUGACCAACACGUGUUGGCCACGGCCUCUGGAUGAGGAAAUCUCGGAGGAAAAUACUGAGAUGAACCUGAGCCUCUCUGGUGAAUUCUUCGUUUCAAUGGUGGAAUAAGUGGCCACAGAUCCAAAUGAGAAAUACAUUACCUAAGUUUAUUAGGAACUUAAUCAUCCAGUAAGAGACCAAGAACCUUGGAUGAACUUCUCAGUGACUCCAGCUCUAGCAUUCAGCAGAGGAAUUAAAAACAUAACAGGCUAAUGAAACACUGUUAGAAUCACCCACCCAUCAGUUAAGUAAAAUGCUCCUUCUUAAAGUUAUUCAAAACAAAAACAAACACAAAAGACUAAAAAAGAAAUUUAUCCUGAUUGGAAAGAUUAUGGUCUGUCUGAUCAUGAACAUAAACUCUAAGGUCUGCCUAGAGUCAAUACUGGCAAUAAGAUUCUUAGCUUUUAAAGAAGAUGAAUUCAGUAGUUGGAAUAAAACACAUGAAUUAUAAAUUUCUAUUAUGGAACAUCUGAGUAUGAUGUCCUGUGAGAGUUAAGAAAAAGAGAAAAACUUUGUCUCAGCCAAGAAAAGAAGCUGGAACUAUAACCAUUUACAUUCUGUGAAAGAAAAUCAUAAAGAUGCUGUUCAUAGUUAUUGAUUUUUGAAAGAGGAUAAGACAUAAAUUAUAUAUAUAUACAUAUACAUGCACUACGUACAUCCCUACCAACGGUGUGUUAUAGAGAUAUUUCAGCUAUCUCCAUAUGACGUCCAGCAUGACAAUAGAAUGACAUUGAGGAACCUGUCUAUCACAUGCUAUAUACACUCUGCCUGGGGAGAACAAACUCUGGACUCAGGACCUAUCUGUGAUCCUUAAUGUUAAAUUUCUUUCAAAACCGUCUACUAUUCAGGAUACUGGAACAUAUUUGUAGAGUUCCUCUCACAUCAUUUAUCAAAGAGCUUUUCAACAUCUCAGCUCCAGAAAGGUAAUCCCAACCCAUGAGAACUCAAAAGAACAGUGCAAAGUAAACAAACCCUGACCAGACGGACAGAAGGUAUGCAUGAGAGGAAGAGUAGCUUUCUCACUAAAUUCCUUGUCAUUUUAUGCCAUCUAUGAUAGAUUAGCAGUGUCUGGCUGA
ensembl:lncRNA